UACGAAGGGGGCUAGCGUUGCUCGGAAUCACUGGGCGUAAAGCGCACGUAGGCGGAUUGCUAAGUCAGGGGUGAAAUCCUGGAGCUCAACUCCAGAACUGCCUUUGAUACUGGCGAUCUCGAGUCCGGGAGAGGUGAGUGGAACUGCGAGUGUAGAGGUGAAAUUCGUAGAUAUUCGCAAGAACACCAGUGGCGAAGGCGGCGCACUGGCCCGGUACUGACGCUGAGGUGCGAAAGCGUGGGGAGCAAACAGG
rnacentral:rRNA from 1 species